CUAUGGUUAAGCUACUAAGAGCACACGGAGGAUGCCUAGGCGCUAGGAGCCGAUGAAGGACGUGGCGAACAACGAAACUGCCUCGGGGAGCUGUAAGCAAGCUUUGAUCCGGGGGUGUCCGAAUGGGGAAACCCAGCUGGGGUAAUUUCCAGUUACUCACAACUGAAUACAUAGGUUGUGUAGAGGCAUACCAGGGGAACUGAAACAUCUAAGUACCCUGAGGAAGAGAAAACAAUAGUGAUUCCGUCAGUAGCGGCGAGCGAACGCGGAGAAGCCCAAACCAGAGAGCUUGCUCUUUGGGGUUGUGGGACAUCUCACAUGGAGUUACAAAGGAGCCGGUUAAACGAAGAGGUCUGGAAAGGCCCGCCAAAGAAGGUAAAAGCCCUGUAGUUGAAAGUCUGCUCUCUCCGAGAUGUAUCCCGAGUAGUGCGGGGCACGUGAAACCCCGUAUGAAUCCGGCAGGACCAUCUGCCAAGGCUAAAUACUUCCUAGCGACCGAUAGUGAAGCAGUACCGUGAGGGAAAGGUGAAAAGCACCCCGGAAGGGGAGUGAAAUAGAACCUGAAACCGUGUGCUUACAAAAAGUCAGAGCCCGUUUUAGGGGUGAUGGCGUGCCUUUUGUAGAAUGAACCGGCGAGUUACGUUCCCGUGCAAGGUUAAGGUGAAGAGCCGGAGCCGCAGCGAAAGCGAGUCUGAAUAGGGCGACAUAGUACGUGGACGUAGACCCGAAACCGGGUGAUCUACCCCUGUCCAGGGUGAAGGUGCGGUAACACGCACUGGAGGCCCGAACCCACGCACGUUGAAAAGUGCGGGGAUGAGGUGGGGGUAGCGGAGAAAUUCCAAUCGAACUCGGAGAUAGCUGGUUCUCCCCGAAAUAGCUUUAGGGCUAGCCUCGGAAAACAGAGUCGUGGAGGUAGAGCACUGAUUGGGUGCGGGGCCCGCAAGGGUUACCAAGCUCAGUCAAACUCCGAAUGCCAUAGACUUACUUCCGGGAGUCAGACAGUGAGUGCUAAGAUCCAUUGUCAAAAGGGAAACAGCCCAGACCAUCAGCUAAGGUCCCCAAGUGUGUGUUAAGUGGGAAAGGAUGUGGAGUUGCACAGACAACCAGGAUGUUGGCUUAGAAGCAGCCACCAUUGAAAGAGUGCGUAAUAGCUCACUGGUCGAGUGACUCUGCGCCGAAAAUGUAACGGGGCUAAACACACCACCGAAGCUAUGGCUUG
rnacentral:rRNA from 1 species